UGAAUUGCUAGUUGAAAUAUGUUGAUGAUGGUAUGGGAUGGAUCUAAUGUCCAUGAGUGUGAUUUGCACGCGUUUUUGCAUAUUGCUUCAUUUCAUUUUCUACUUUCAAAUUUUAUUUUGUUUUUGUAUGUAUAUGAAUGAUGUGAAUCAAUGGUGAUGAUGCUAUGGAAUAAUGAAUUGGUAUGGAUGUGCAAAACUCAUGUGCUUCACAAUUCCUUUUCUCUCUUCUUAUUUUAUAUUUUC
rnacentral:lncRNA from 1 species